CACGUAGGCGCAAGCGUUGUCCGGAAUUAUUGGGCGUAAAGAGCUCGUAGGCGGUCUGUUGCGUCCGCUGUGAAAACUCGGGGCUUAACCCCGAGCCUGCAGUGGAUACGGGCAGACUAGAGGUAGGUAGGGGAGAAUGGAAUUCCCGGUGUAGCGGUGAAAUGCGCAGAUAUCGGGAGGAACACCGGUGGCGAAGGCGGUUCUCUGGGCCU
rnacentral:rRNA from 1 species